GAUGAAGAACGUAGCGAAAUGCGAAAAGUAAUGUGAAUUGCAGAAUUCAGUGAAUCAUCGAAUCUUUGAACGCACAUUGCGCCCGCUGGUACUCCGGCGGGCACGCCUGUCCGAGCGUCAUUUCAACCCUCACGCCCUCCUUCGGGAUGGGCCUGGUGUUGGGGCUCGGCCGCCAUCUCCGGCGGCCGUCCCCUAAAUACAGUGGCGGUCACGUCGCGACUCCUUUGCGUAGUAGAAACACCUCGCUCCGGAUAGCAACGCGGUCCACGCCGUAAAACCCCCAAUUUUCAAUGGUUGACCUCGGAUCAGGUGGGAAUACCCGCUGAACUUAAGCAUAUCAAUAAGCGGAGGA
rnacentral:misc_RNA from 1 species